AGAAUUUGAACUCGGGUCAAAUUGAGUUUCGGGGGCAGGCCAUAACACGUGCAAGUCGAGCGGAUGACGGGAGCUUGCUCCUUGAUUCAGCGGCGGACGGGUGAGUAAUGCCUAGGAAUCUGCCUGGUAGUGGGGGACAACGUUUCGAAAGGAACGCUAAUACCGCAUACGUCCUACGGGAGAAAGCAGGGGACCUUCGGGCCUUGCGCUAUCAGAUGAGCCUAGGUCGGAUUAGCUUGUUGGUGAGGUAAUGGCUCACCAAGGCGACGAUCCGUAACUGGUCUGAGAGGAUGAUCAGUCACACUGGAACUGAGACACGGUCCAGACUCCUACGGGAGGCAGC
rnacentral:rRNA from 1 species